GUGCUCGCUUUGGCGGCACAUAUACUAAAAUUGGA
rnacentral:snRNA from 1 species